AUACACACAGACAACAUAUGUAACUUUGAAAACCCUCCCUUCACAAAACAAAUACACGCACAACAACAGACACCCUUUGAUUUUCCCUUCUCUCUCUUCACACAUGUCACCGGAGAUCAUGAUUCCGGCUCUGGCGGCACCUGUUGCCGACGCCCCUCCACCGACGCGACACACCCACACAACCCCCUUCGUUCCUCGUUCUGACGGGACACCCACAGAACCCCCACCCCGUUUCAUUUUAUAUCCACCAUACACCCCCUCCUAUUGCAGACGAUUAAACGGCCACCACCGGUUGGUGGUGGCGUACGGUGGUGCCAGAUGACGGUUCAAGUAGAGUGAUCAGACUAAGAAAGCUGAUUUGAGGGGAGAGAGACCCGCGACACCGGAAUGUCGGUGGUUGGAGAACGGCUGAUGGCGAUGGCGGUGCCUCAGAACUCCGGCAGCCGUGGCUUCAUCGGUAAGAGCAACUGUUUUAGUUUUAUUUUUCUUUUCGAUUGCUGAACGGUAAUCAAGUGCACUCAUAAUUCUCCUUAUUUUCCGAUGGGUUUUUGGGGAUUCUGGCGAGCUCUUGGUACGUUGAUGGAUCUGGAGUUAAAGAUGUUAAUGGGAGCCAUGUGGAAUUUGAUUUGGAUUCAAUGGUGUCUAAAUCAAGCCACUGAUUUGGAUUUUGUUAUGUGAAAUCGAAAAGUGGUAAUCGGGACAACUUGUGGGUCAAGUACUCUGGGUCAACACAGUCAACACCCGGUCCACAUGGUCAAAACCCGAGUCAACUCGGGUCAACAGCGGUCAAACAGGUCAAACGCGGUCGACUUAGGACCCGGAAUGCUUUAGUUGCACGCUAGCGAGUCACGUCUUGGAAACGACAUCACAGAAUCACGAUAACUAGCUUUGCACAAGAAUGUCAAGGUUGCAUUUUCAAAACUAUGGAACGGUUGGAAUAGGAGAACCCAUGGGAAGUCGAGUACUUAGCGGCGUUCAUUUUCUAGAAGUCUUAGCUAAUUGCUUCCGCUGUGCAAUGAAGAUACCGGUCCAGUCACGCCAUGCUCUGAUAAUUUCGGGGUGUGACA